UUUUAUGCUUCCGACGCGGUGAAGAGGGGGCUCAUUUGCAAGGUUAGGACUCCAAUGCUCAAACCAAUAUAUGAGAAAGAGGAGUGAAUUCAAAUCGUGUUUGAAUUUUGUUAUCUGAAUUUGGCGUUUCUCUAUAGUAAAGAAUGAAUAAUUAACUUGUUAUUAGUUAUGGGUUACAGAAAGUCGUUGGAAGCACUUGAGACUUUGAUCUCCUGCGCAUGCCCAUUGGAUGAUUUUC
rnacentral:lncRNA from 1 species